rnacentral:hammerhead_ribozyme from 1 species
AUCCAGCUGACGAGUCCAAAAUAAGACGAAACAAUGCGCCUCUUGGAU